GAUGAACGCUGGCGGCGUGCCUAAUACAUGCCAGUCGAGCGAACAGACGAGGAGCUUGCUCCUCUGACGUUAGCGGCGGACGGGUGAGUAACACGUGGAUAACCUACCUAUAAGACUGGGAUAACUUCGGGAAACCGGAGCUAAUACCGGAUAAUAUAUUGAACCGCAUGGUUCAAUAGUGAAAGACGGUUUUGCUGUCACUUAUAGAUGGAUCCGCGCCGCAUUAGCUAGUUGGUAAGGUAACGGCUUACCAAGGCGACGAUGCGUAGCCGACCUGAGAGGGUGGUCGGCCACACUGGAACUGAGACACGGUCCAGACGCCUACGGGAGGCAGCAGUAGGGAAUCUUCCGCAAUGGGCGAAAGCCUGACGGAGCAACGCCGCGUGAGUGAUGAAGGUCUUCGGAUCGUAAAACUCUGUUAUUAGGGAAGAACAAAUGUGUAAGUAACUAUGCACGUCUUGACGGUACCUAAUCAGAAAGCCACGGCUAACUACGUG
rnacentral:rRNA from 1 species